ensembl:lncRNA
GAAUUCUUCUAUGUAACAGAUGGCAAUGGUUUCAUGCGGGACACAUAUAUUAUCAGUUAAAGCAUGUGUCUUAAUAAGAUGUCUCCUAAACCCAGAAUAACUAGCGAACUGCAAACAAUAAACUGUCUGACUGCAUUUUAGUCGUAGGCUUUUUGCUGGAUACAUUCCAUGAAUUAGUUUUAGGUGACUGAACAAAAGCAAAACUGUACCAAAGGAUGAAGUUCAGAGGAAACAACUUAACAUUCUGGCUGAACAAAAUAGUUACCGUUUGUUCAACAACCUUGCUCUGAGCUCUCUGACUCUUGGAGUUUCUUCAGUUCUACGAUGUCAAUAUUGUACACAGUUGUUUGUAAAGAUGUCUACAUGCUUGACAGGGAAUCAUCAUACUUCACACUGAACACAAAAUGAGACUUAAAUAGCUCAUCAAAAGUCACCAAGGAUGUACAUGACUGACAUGUUACAAGCUUUUUGUCCAAGACAACAUAGAAGGUGGAAACCUUCACUUUUAAAAUCCCUCUGGCAAGAAGAUAUGGCUGAGAGCCUCCUUCAGUGGUCUUCAGAUGGUCCUCAAGGCUUUGACAUGACUGAAGCACAAUGAAAACAUCCACUUAUAAAUAAUUUGCUUAAAAAAUGUUAAAUUUACUGCAAUAUUUUGAAUGAUACAGUGUUAUUCACAAACCUUUUGAAAUUCCACCAGACGAUCUAUUGCCUCAUCAAUGCUGAGUUUCUUGGGCCGUUUUCUUCCAGUUGGUUGUGGUGUGAGAAGAUGCAGCAGGACAAGAAGAGACGACAUAUCACUGUCCCACUCUGGAAAUAGAGUAAAUAAUAACUAGUUAUUUUAAAAUGGGCCAUUUUGUGAAUCUCUAGACUCUGUUACACUUGUUUUAUGAUAAUCUUUUGAAAUAGAAGAGCAAAAGUGUGCUACUUCAAGCAAAUGUUUGUUAGAGACCAGAACAUUCUUCCUGUUAAAUGCUAAACAACAAACUGUUAUGCAAACAGAUUUUCAGUUAUUUAACAAUACAGUUUGUUCUUCUGUCUUCUAGUCAAUUAAAUCCUUCUGCAUCCUGGAGAUUUUAUUUGAUUUUGAUGAUGCACCUGGAUCAUCAGUGGUGUCAGAUCCUUCAUUCAGAGCAGAUGUCGUUUUAGAAUUUACCUGUUGUAGCGGGGGGGUCAUUAAUUAGUGGCACACACGUCCGAGGCACACGUGACAAAGCUGUGUAUUCCUGGCGAAAGCUGGACGGCUUCUGAUGAGGUAGGACAUAUGAUGAUGCUCUCUCUCCUAAUUGUUAAUCUAGUGGCCAUAAAAUAUUCAAAACUCUCUCUCACUCUUCAAAACUUCAUAAAAACUUAAGAA